rnacentral:rRNA from 1 species
UACGAAGGGUGCAAGCGUUACUCGGAAUCACUGGGCGUAAAGCGUGCGUAGGCGGUUCGUUAAGUCUGCUGUGAAAGCCCUGGGCUCAACCUGGGAACUGCAGUGGAUACUGGCGGACUAGAGUGUGAUAGAGGAUGGUGGAAUUCCCGGUGUAGCGGUGAAAUGCGUAGAGAUCGGGAGGAACACCAGUGGCGAAGGCGGCCUCUGGAUCAACACUGACGCUGAGGCACGAAAGCGUGGGGGAGCAAACAGG